UCUAUAAUAGCUUAAUGGUAAAGCUUUUGGUUGUUAACCAAAUUAUAUCAGUUCAAUUCUGAUUUGUGGAG
rnacentral:tRNA from 1 species